GUGGGGAAUAUUGGACAAUGGGCGCAAGCCUGAUCCAGCCAUGCCGCGUGAGUGAUGAAGGCCCUAGGGUUGUAAAGCUCUUUCACCGGUGAAGAUAAUGACGGUAACCGGAGAAGAAGCCCCGGCUAACUUCGUGCCAGCAGCCGCGGUAAUACGAAGGGGGCUAGCGUUGUUCGGAUUUACUGGGCGUAAAGCGCACGUAGGCGGAUCGUUAAGUCGGGGGUGAAAUCCUGGAGCUCAACUCCAGAACUGCCUUCGAUACUGGCGAUCUUGAGUCCGGAAGAGGUGAGUGGAACUCCUAGUGUAGAGGUGGAAUUCGUAGAUAUUAGGAAGAACACCAGUGGCGAAGGCGGCUCACUGGUCCGGUACUGACGCUGAGGUGCGAAAGCGUGGGGAGCAAACAGGAUUAGAUACCCCGGUAGUCC
rnacentral:rRNA from 1 species